CUAACCGGAUUCCCCUAGUAACGGCGAGUGAAGAGGGAAAAGCCCAGCACCGAAGCCUGCGGUAACUUUAUCGUUAGGCAUUGUGGUGUUUGGGUUGGCUCGUUGGAUUGCCGCUCCAUUCGAAGUCCAGCAUUGAGUAUGGUUACUGGAUUUGGCCCAGAGAGGGUGAGAGGCCCGUGCGGGUGGAGUUUCAGACAUGAUUGGCAGUUCAUCAGGUCAGCCCUAGAGUCGGGUUGUUUGAGAAUGCAGCCCAAAGUGGGUGGUAAACUCCAUCCAAGGCUAAAUACUGGCACGAGUCCGAUAGAGAACAAGUACCGUGAGGGAAAGUUGAAAAGUACUUUGAAGAGAGAGUAAACAGCACGUGAAACCGCAUGUAGGUAAACGGGUGGCGUCAAGCUGCAAGCCGAGAGAAUUCAGUUGGUCAGGUUGUUACAUGUGCCUAGCGCAUUUAUCAGUCGGUUGGGCAGGCCUGCCUGUGCAGGAUUUGCAGUCCACUUUGGUUGGUGGAGCAAACUUGUCCGACUACUGGAUUGCCUGAUCGAUGCACUUUCUCUAUGGUGGACACCAUGACCGGUGGUACUGCCAGUCUGCUUUGGCCAAGUUCUUGUUGCUAUCUUUACGACGGCAGCUUGGAUGACAUACAAUUUAGUGCACGGUGCUUGAACGUUUCGGCGAUUGAGCAUGAUAUCGGACACUGGUUGUAAUCGGAUUGUGUGCAUGCGUUUGUAAAGCGCUGUGUGCGUCUGGUCGGCCUUAGUGGUAUGAAUAACUGUGCAGGGCACCGUUGUUAUCGGUCUCAAAUUCUGUCUGUUGCCCACUUUACAAGUGGUCGUGUGAGCGUUGUCUGGCUUCGCCUAUGCUUCGAUCUGAUGGUCGUGUCGCCUGCGUAAAGUAGGUCCGGCUUUGGUCUGGUGUAGGUCGGAGUUGGCAUGGCGUUUGCCGUGGCAGGCAGUGUGGGCCUAACAGUCUGUGGUGUAGUGGUAGACUAGCUGCCCGACCCGUCUUGAAACACGGACCAAGGAGUUUAACAUGCGCGCAAGUCAAAGGGUCUUACGAAACCCCAUGGCGCAAUGAAAGUGAAGCCUCGUCUUGUCGCGGGGUGUGGUGAGAUCCUGCUGUUACUCGCAUCGUCUUGUGUGCUAGCACUAGGCAAAGAGCAGUAGGCGCAUCACCGGCCCGUCCCAUGGUGUGGCCGUCGGCCUUGUGCUGGCGCGUCAUCGGGGCGGAGCAUGAGCGUGCAUGUUAUGACCCGAAAGAUGGUGAACUAUGCUUGCGUAGGUUGAAGCCAGAGGAAACUCUGGUGGAGGACCGCAGCGAUUCUGACGUGCAAAUCGAUCGUCUAACGUGAGUAUAGGGGCGAAAGACUAAUCGAACCAUCUAGUAGCUGGUUCCCUCCGAAGUUUCCCUCAGGAUAGCUGGCGCUCAUUCGCAUGAUCAGUUUUAUCCGGUAAAGCGAAUGAUUAGAGGUACUGGGUUCGAAACGAGCUCAACCUAUUCUCAAACUUUAAAUGGGUAAGAUGCCUGGCUCGCCUAAUAGGAGCUGGGCGUUGAAUGUGCGAGUGCCAAGUGGGCCAUUUUUGGUAAGCAGAACUGGCGCUGUGGGAUGAACCAAACGCCUGGUUAAGGUGCCUAACGUUGACGCUCAUGAGACACCACAAAAGGUGUUAGUCGGUCUAGACAGCAGGACGGUGGCCAUGGAAGUCGGCAUCCGCUAAGGAGUGUGUAACAACUCACCUGCCGAAUCGACUAGCCCUGAAAAUGGAUGGCGCUGGAGCGUCGGACCUAUACCGGGCCGUCAUCGCAAGCUGAGCCGUUGGCGUAUGUGUGUGAUGUGAGCGGCGCUUGAGUAUGUGAAAGCCGUACAGAUGUCAUGGUUCAGGCAUGGAGCGCGGUGACGAGUAGGAGGGUCGCCGUGGUGUGCUGAGAAGCCUCGGUCGUAAGACUAGGUGGAGCCGCCACGGGUGCAGAUCUUGGUGGUAGUAGCAAAUAUUCAAGUGAGAACCUUGAAGGCCGAGGUGGAGAAGGGUUCCAUGGGAACAGCAGUUGACCAUGGGUCAGGCGGUCCUAAGCAAUCCGGUGACUCGGUACAGAGACGUGGGGUGCCUUGCAUGUUUUCCGUAUGUGUACACGUGUAUGUGAGUGUGUUGCUGGUAGCCCCCCGGAGCGAAAGGGAAUCGGGUUAAUAUUCCCGACCCUGCCCACGGAGAUAGGCAUGUGUUUGGCUGGAGUGAGGCCUUGUGCUUUGCUUCGUGUCCGGAUCAUGUCAAGCGCGGUAACGCAACCGAACUCGGAGACGUCGGCGAGAGUUUCGGGAAGAGUUUUCUUUUCUUUGUUAGGAGUUUUACCACCCCUGGAAUCGGGUUGUCCGGAGAUAGGGGUAUCAACUCCGUAAAGCAUCACACCUCUUGUGGUGUCCGAAACGCUCUUGUCGGCCCUUGAAAAUCCGAGGGAGGCAUUAUGAUUUUCGUGGCAGGCCGUACCCAUAUCCGCAUCAGGUCUC
rnacentral:rRNA from 1 species